UUUACUUUACCACAUAUAUAUAUAUAUAUAUAUAGAGUGAACUAGAAUACUAUCGAUAGCAAAUCGGUUUUUUUGCCACCUAUUUGUUUUCGAUAAUGGAGCCUCCAAAUUGAUGAUCGGCACCGUUGAACAUGAUCUAUACCAUUUGAAGUAUUUAGAAAUCAAAUUUUAUAUAUUUUCGAUAUUGUUCUCUUAUCCAUCGAGUGGACACAAGAAUGAACAGCUGAAAAUAAAUAUUCUUAAAAAAAUGAUGAUAGGAGUCUUGUAAUCAAGAUCAAGAAUAUAGAUCUUGUUUUAAAUAGUUUAAAAAAUUUUCUAACAAAAAUUCAAUUGAUGUGGAUAUCUUUACGCCGUUAAACGAAAAAACGCUUCAUAUCGACCUUUAAAAUUACAAAUUUUGAAACCCUUUGAUCAUUAGGCAAAUGAUGUCGAAAAGAUUUGAAAUUUGAUUUCUAAACACUGCAAGUGGUAUAGAUCAUAUUCAAUGGUGCCGAUCGUCGAUUUGGAAGCUUCAUCAUCGAAAACAAAUGGGUGGCAAAAGAGCCCGUUUGCUACCGAUAGUAUUCUAGCUCAACUAUAUAUAUAUAGUAGAGCUACUAUACUAUUAGAAACAUAAAGUAGUUGGUGCUUCCGAUUUUUUAACCCUUAGAUCAAUCACAUUGAUCAUUUCUAACUGUUGGGUUAAUAUUAUUAACCAAUGGGGACCACUCAACUCUAGGGGGACAUCUCAAUCCUAAAAAAACUGCUAUCAUCCUAACCGUAGAAUUUUUAAUAUAAGGGCUAAAAAAUAGGAAGUACGAAUUACUUUAUGCUUCCAUAGUAUAGUAGCGCUCUCUCUCUCUAUAUAUAUAUAUAUAUAUAUAUAUAUAUAU
rnacentral:lncRNA from 1 species